rnacentral:rRNA from 1 species
AACAAACGCUGGCGGCGUGCCUAAUACAUGCAAGUCGAACGGGGAAAGCUUUCGGGUGAGUACUAGUGGCGCACGGGUGAGUAACGCGUGGAUAAUCUGCCUUAGAGUGGGGGAUAACUAGUCGAAAGUUUAGCUAAUACCGCAUAAGACCACAAGAACUGCGGUUCAAGGGGUCAAAGGUUUUUCGCUCUAAGAUGAGUCCGCGUAAGAUUAGCUAGUUGGUGAGGUAAUGGCUCACCAAGGCGACGAUCUUUAACUGGUCUGAGAGGAUGAUCAGUCACACUGGAACUGAGACACGGUCCAGACUCCUACGGGAGGCAGCAGUAGGGAAUAUUGCACAAUGGAGGAAACUCUGAUGCAGCGACGCCGCGUGAGCGAUGAAGGCCUUCGGGUCGUAAAGCUCUGUCGCAAGGGAAUAACACAAUGAAUGUACCUUGCAAGAAAGGAUCGGCUAACUUCGUGCCAGCAGCCGCAGUAAUAC